rnacentral:rRNA from 1 species
CUACGGGUGGCUGCAGUGAGGAAUCUUGCGCAAUGGGGGAAACCCUGACGCAGCGACGCCGCGUGGGUGAUGAAGGCCUUCGGGUCGUAAAGCCCUGUCAAGUGGGAAGAACGGUCGACGGGUUAAUAUCCCGACUUCUUGACGGUACCACUGGAGGAAGCACCGGCUGAACUCCGUGCCAGCAGCCGCGGUAAUACGGAGGGUGCCAGCGUUGUUCGGAAUCACUGGGCGUAAAGGGCGCGCAGGCGGUUUGGUAAGUCAGAUGUGAAAGCCCUGGGCUCAACCCAGGAAGUGCAUUUGAUACUGCCUUCCUGGAGUACGGGAGAGGGAAGCGGAAUUCCGAGUGUAGAGGUGAAAUUCGUAGAUAUUCGGAGGAACACCGGUGGCGAAGGCGGCUUCCUGGACCGAUACUGACGCUGAGGCGCGAAAGCGUGGGGAGCAAACAGGAUUAGAUACCCGGGUAGUC